rnacentral:rRNA from 1 species
AUGGUGGCAUAUGUGGGUGGGGCUUGGCGCCGGUUGCCGGUGCAAAGGGUGUAUGAGAUCUUGGGAGGUAGGCUUGACAUCUCUACGGAUCAACUCCCCGUCCACCCGUAUCGGCUAGAGGAUUUCUUGGUGGUGUUUGCUACUGCGGAGGUUCGGAACAGAGUGGCGGCGUGCCCGUCGGUGGAGUACCAUGGUGACCGGUUGUUCUUUCGGCCAUGGAAUCGGCAGUCGGAGGCAGUUCACUCGGUGUUGGGGUUCAAGGUUUGUAUUGAGCUCGAGGGAAUCCCGCCGCACGCCUGGGCGAGGGAAACUGCUGAGGAGUUGCUGGGCUCAUCGUGCAAAGUGGAUUCGGUGGCGCCGGAGACUAGCUCGAGGGCGGACCUAUCGUCCUUCAAGCUCUCUGCGUGGACGGCAGACCCGGUGGAGAUCCCUACAAUUCGCUGGCUUGCUAUGCCGGAGCCGGGCUCAGAGAUGCCACCGCCAUUGCUGCAGUAUAAGGUGCUCAUUCACGUCGACGCGGUUGCUGAUUACAGAGAAGCAGGGGAGCCGGUGUUCCUAGGUGAAUCUCCAGAUAACGGUCAGAGCGGAAUCCCAGACUCUCAGGACGGUUUUGGCGGCGGCAGUAGCAGCAGCUCCACGCCGCGCAGCCUUGCGUCGCAAUUCGGAGUCCGUGAUUCACAUGGUGGUGGCCAUGGCACCGGCAGUGGCGGCGGGCAGGGCGGCACCAGCGGUCUCAUUCGGAUUGGAGCCUCCCAUCGAUGGACCCCACCCCUGUCAUUCGGAGAGAGCCAGCUGGUCGGGUGUGGGAUAGGUUGA